CAGCCGCCGCGGUAAUACGAAGGGUGCAAGCGUUAAUCGGAAUUACUGGGCGUAAAGCGUGCGUAGGCGGUGAGUUAAGUCUGCUGUGAAAUCCCCGGGCUCAACCAGGGAAUGGCAGUGGAUACUGGCUCGCUAGAGUGUGUCAGAGGAUGGUGGAAUUCCCGGUGUAGCGGUGAAAUGCGUAGAGAUCGGGAGGAACAUCAGUGGCGAAGGCGGCCAUCUGGGACAACACUGACGCUGAGGCACGAAAGCGUGGGGAGCAAACAGGAUUAGAUACCCCUGUAGUCCCUGUCUCUUAUAC
rnacentral:rRNA from 1 species